GACGAACGCUGGCGGCGUGCUUAACACAUGCAAGUCGAACGGAAAGGCCCUGCUUUUGUGGGGUGCUCGAGUGGCGAACGGGUGAGUAACACGUGAGUAACCUGCCCUUGACUUUGGGAUAACUUCAGGAAACUGGGGCUAAUACCGGAUAGGAGCUCCUGCUGCAUGGUGGGGGUUGGAAAGUUUCGGCGGUUGGGGAUGGACUCGCGGCUUAUCAGCUUGUUGGUGGGGUAGUGGCUUACCAAGGCUUUGACGGGUAGCCGGCCUGAGAGGGUGACCGGCCACAUUGGUACUGAGAGACGGCGCAGACGGCUACGGGAGGCAGCAGGGGGGAAUAUGGCACAAUGGGCGGAAGCCGGAGACAGCAACGCCGCGUGCGGGAUGACGGCCUUUGGGGUGUAAACCGCUUUCGCCUGUUACGAAGCGGGAGUGACGGUAAUGGGUAAAGAAGCACCGGCUAACUACGUG
rnacentral:rRNA from 1 species